CAAUUACAAUUACACAAACAAAAACAAAAACAAAAAACAAAAAAAGAGAGUAAUCGAGUUUGAGAGAGGGUCUCACUCUCCCACCCACGAUGGUUUGAUUUUCUCAUCCAUUUCUUACUUUUUCCCCUCCUCCCCUUCUUUCUUCUCC
rnacentral:ribozyme from 13 species